rnacentral:rRNA from 1 species
CAGACCUCUGAUCAGAGAAGACCACCCGCUGAGUUUAAGCAUAUCAAUAGCCGGGAAGGAA